rnacentral:rRNA from 1 species
AGUGAACGCUGGCGGUAGGCCUAACACAUGCAAGUCGAACGGCAGCACAGUAAGAGCUUGCUCUUACGGGUGGCGAGUGGCGGACGGGUGAGGAAUACAUCGGAAUCUACUUUUUCGUGGGGGAUAACGUAGGGAAACUUACGCUAAUACCGCAUACGACCUACGGGUGAAAGCAGGGGAUCUUCGGACCUUGCGCGAUUGAAUGAGCCGAUGUCGGAUUAGCUAGUUGGCGGGGUAAAGGCCCACCAAGGCGACGAUCCGUAGCUGGUCUGAGAGGAUGAUCAGCCACACUGGAACUGAGACACGGUCCAGACUCCUACGCGAGGCAGCAGUGGGGAAUAUUGGACAAUGGGCGAAAGCCUGAUCCAGCCAUACCGCGUGGGUGAAGAAGGCCUUCGGGUUGUAAAGCCCUUUUGUUGGGAAAGAAAAGCAGCAGGUUAAUACCCCGCUGUUCUGACGGUACCCAAAGAAUAAGCACCGGCUAACUUCGUG